rnacentral:rRNA from 1 species
GAUGAACGCUGGCGGCGUGCUUAAUACAUGCGAGUCGAGCGAACGGACGAGAAGCUUGCUCCUCUGAUGUUAGCGGCGGACGGGUGAGUAAUACGUGGAUAACCUACCUAUAAGACUGGGAUAACCUCGGGAAACCGGAGCUAAUACCGGAUAAUACUUUGAACCGCAUGGUUCAAAAGUGGAAGGCGGUCUUGCGGUCACUUAUAGCUGACGCCGCGCCGCUUUAGCGAGUUGGUAAGGUAACGGCUUACCAAGGCAACGAAGCACAGCCGACCUGGGCGAGGGAUCGGCCACCCUGGAACUGGGCCACGGUCCAUGGUCCUACGGGAGGGAGCAGACGCGAACCUUCCGCAACGGGCGAAAGCCUGACGGAACAAGGCCGCGUGAGUGAUGAAGGUCCUCGGAUCGUAAAACUCUGUUAUGAGGUGAGAACAUAUGUGUAAGUAGCAGUGCACAUAUUGACGGUACCUACUGAGAAAGCCACGGCUAACUACGUG